CUACUAUCUUAACAAUGGCACCCUCGUUAUCCGAAGUGCAGAAGUCUUUCAUCAACCUACAGAUUGAAUGCGAGGAGUCUCGUGCUAAAAAGCUACAGCUUUCAGCACAAUACAAUCUCCUAAUGAAUGAGAGAGCCGAGACGGAGGCUACUUCACAAUACCUCAAAAAACAAAAACCAGAUACCUUGGUUUUUCGCGCGGUUGGCAGAUGCUUCAUAAAGUGUGACAUGAAAAAUCUACUGGACAGCCUAGAAAACGGAAUUGAAUCUCUGACUCUAGACGCUGAGUCAGCCAAGAAGGCGGCCAGCUCUGCUGAGACAAAAUUCAAUUCAGCUUACGAAAGUCUUGUGGAAUGCGUUAAGAACACCUACAAUACUCCUAACCAUUAGCAAGAACUGCUAGUUUGAGCUGUGAAUUCUAUCUCUGCGGUAAAAAACUUCGCAAUCGCCAGUGAGCAAGAGGCCUUGGUACAAAGAAUAGUACUUUUGUGAUAUGUAGUCGUGCCUAUGCAUGGUAUCGCACUGACACAAAGAAAGCCAUGACCGAAAAUAGAAUGUGUGAAAAUAUUGUCGUUAUACCAAAAAUCUUUGUUGCUCUAAUUUGCAGCUCCCUUUGUUCAGAGG